rnacentral:rRNA from 1 species
UANUGCAGUCGAACGCGUUGGCCCAAUUGAUUGAUGGUGCUUGCACCUGAUUGAUUUUGGUCGCCAACGAGUGGCGGACGGGUGAGUAACACGUAGGUAACCUGCCCAGAAGCGGGGGACAACAUUUGGAAACAGAUGCUAAUACCGCAUAACAACGUUGUUCGCAUGAACAACGCUUAAAAGAUGGCUUCUCGCUAUCACUUCUGGAUGGACCUGCGGUGCAUUAGCUUGUUGGUGGGGUAAUGGCCUACCAAGGCGAUGAUGCAUAGCCGAGUUGAGAGACUGAUCGGCCACAAUGGGACUGAGACACGGCCCAUACUCCUACGGGAGGCAGCAGUAGGGAAUCUUCCACAAUGGGCGCAAGCCUGAUGGAGCAACACCGCGUGAGUGAAGAAGGGUUUCGGCUCGUAAAGCUCUGUUGUUAAAGAAGAACACGUAUGAGAGUAACUGUUCAUACGUUGACGGUAUUUAACCAGAAAGUCACGGCUAACUACGUGCCAGCAGCCGCGGUAAUACGUAGGUGGCAAGCGUUAUCCGGAUUUAUUGGGCGUAAAGAGAGUGCAGGCGGUUUUCUAAGUCUGAUGUGAAAGCCUUCGGCUUAACCGGAGAAGUGCAUCGGAAACUGGAUAACUUGAGUGCAGAAGAGGGUAGUGGAACUCCAUGUGUAGCGGUGGAAUGCGUAGAUAUAUGGAAGAACACCAGUGGCGAAGGCGGCUACCUGGUCUGCAACUGACGCUGAGACUCGAAAGCAUGGGUAGCGAACAGGAUUAGAUACCCUGGUAGUCCAUGCCGUAAACGAUGAGUGCUAGGUGUUGGAGGGUUUCCGCCCUUCAGUGCCGGAGCUAACGCAUUAAGCACUCCGCCUGGGGAGUACGACCGCAAGGUUGAAACUCAAAGGAAUUGACGGGGGCCCGCACAAGCGGUGGAGCAUGUGGUUUAAUUCGAAGCUACGCGAAGAACCUUACCAGGUCUUGACAUCUUGCGCCAACCCUAGAGAUAGGGCGUUUCCUUCGGGAACGCAAUGACAGGUGGUGCAUGGUCGUCGUCAGCUCGUGUCGUGAGAUGUUGGGUUAAGUCCCGCAACGACCGCACCCUUGUUACUAGUNGCAGCAUUA